rnacentral:rRNA from 1 species
CAAUUGCGACCCCAGGUCAGGCGGGGCUACCCGCUGAGUUUAAGCAUAUCAAU